rnacentral:snRNA from 1 species
UAACUGGCUUGUGGCAGCCAAGC